rnacentral:rRNA from 1 species
CCCCUAGAUGUUCUGGGCCGCACGCGCGCUACACUGAACAGUUCAACAAGUCUUAACCUUGGCCGAUAGGUCUGGGUAAUCUUUGAACGCUGUUCGUGAUUGGGAUAGACCUUUGCAAUUAUGGGUCUUCAACGAGGAAUUCCUAGUAAACGCAAGUCAUCAGCUUGCAUUGAUUACGUCCCUGCCCUUUGUACACACCGCCCGUCGCACCUACCGAUUGAAUGGUCCGGUGAGGCCCCCGGAAUGUGGCAACGGCUUCGGUUCGCCGAACUGAUGCUGCGUGAAGCUGUCCAAACCUUAUCAUUUAGAGGAAGGAGAAGUCGUAACA